AGGGAAGGGGCGGCAGCGAGCUCGCCAGGCGGCCAGGAACCCGGGUGGGGCCGGGACCGAGGCGGUGGCUGGCCAGCGGAGCUCAGGCCGGGCGCGGCGCGCCGGGUGAAGGCGGCAAGGCGGCAAGGCCCCGGCCGAGGCCGGCGGAGCCGCGCAGCUGCGGCCGGCUGACGUGAGCGGCGUGCGGGUCCCGGCCGGCAGCGCGCUGGCGGCCAUGGCGGUGGCGCUGGCGGGCCGCGGGGCGCGCGGCGGCAGGGGCCGGCCCCCGGGCGGGCGGGCGGAGGGGGCGGGGCCGGGGCGCCGGGCGGCCCGCGCGACAGCGGCGGCGAAGACGACGGAGACGGGGGGCGCUGGGGCUGAUGACAGCGGCCGGGCCCGGGGCGGCGCCGUCCCCGCGGCGGUGCGACAGCGACCCGGCCUCCCCCGGAGCGCAGUCCCCAAAGGUGAGCGGAGCGCGCUGCCCAACGGGCAGCGGCCCAGGCCGGGCUCGGGAGAGAAGAGGAGACGGGGCGGCGGGUCCUGGAGCAACGAGUGCGGCGGACAGUGGGCGCGGACGUCGGGGAGACCUGCGCGGCGGGGUGGGAAGUUGUCCGGGAAUAGCUGGGACCGGGGGACUCGGGAAGAGUGCUUGAGACGAAGCGCCCCCAGCCUGGGAAAGUCGGAAAAGUUGGCGGCCUUGGGGAUCUCAGUCGGGGAGACGCUGAGCGGGACGUGCGCUCGGGGUCCCGAGUUGGCAGAACGUGGAUUCACACCCACGUUCCUGGCCGCAGGCAGCUGCAGGGCCGGACUGAGAACUUCUGGCUUCGGCGGCAGCAGCAUGCACUGGCCAAGGCUGGCUUCAAACCCUGUAUCUACCUCCCGAGUGUUGGGAUUACAGAUGUGUACCACCAUGCUGGGUAUAUUCAGUGCUGGAGAUUGAGCCCGCAGCUUCAUGACUGCCAGGCAAGCACUGCCUUCACUAAAUGCAGCCCCAGAGCUAUAGCUGAAACCUUGCAUGAGCUUCUUCUUCUUGCCUAUUACCAUCAACAUCUUCCUAAAAACAGUAAUAGAAAGCAAGAGAUCUGAAGUUCUGUGUUCAUCCAUGAGGAUUCUCACACUCACGUCGCCGAGGGCUCGCUCCAGACAGGAAGCUAGUUUCAUCACGCCGAGGGAGACGGCAGCAGGCUGCGAGCUUUGCAAGGCAUCAAGUAUCUCAAGAAACAACUAUUCAGAGGAAGACACACACUCGAGCUCAGAUUCAGUGAAAGAUGUUUCUCAAAGCAACAAUAAUGUUUAUUCAAUUACUAUUUCCGCACUCAAGCCUCUUAAGAUUUGAAGGUUUAAAACUUUCGGAAUAAAAAGAGUUUAUAUUGGAAAUACUAUAAUAAAGGAAAUUAUCUAACACCUAA
rnacentral:lncRNA from 1 species